UCAUAUUCUUGAUUGUGAUAACACGCAGAAGGAAGCAAUGUUUCGAAGAGCAUAUAUGCCAUUUUCAGAUUAGUCAGCAGAUCUUCAACUUGAGGUGACUUAUUGGGGGAAUUUCUUCCCAACUUGUCCCUGGCCAUUUGGACUACUACUCCCUGGACUAUUCCAGCCAAUGCUGUUAUAUUCAUCCAAUAGAUGGCAGAGAAUGUCCGGUUGUCCUUGGGGGUGACUGUAUUACAACAGAGUCUGAAGGGGACUAGUCACGGCCCAUGGGCAGGAAGAUUAUGUGACUGGCUUGAAAUAUGGUUUGCCCCUACUCUCCCCUGUAGAUGACAAUGAAAAGUUUACUGAAGAAGCAGGAAGGUUUAUUGGGCUUGAUGUACUCGGAGACGGUAAUGUUGCUGUAAUUGAGUAUUUGGAUCAAUACACAUCACUUAGCAUGGUAGAACCAUAUAGCCGAAAACAGAAUUUCUGCAAUGACUUCUAGUUGCUCAGGCUGGUGUAUUUCAUGGCAAAGAACAUGGCGGCGCGUCCCUAUUCCAGUCUUUUAUCACUUGGAAUCAAAAGAACCUCUCCUGAAUGAAGAGACUGCUGACCAUAUCAAGUGUAACUCACCACCCAAUAUCCGGAACUACUCCGCAAGACAAUCGGACAAAGGAAGAUGGUCUUUAAUAAUUGUUCUAAUUCCAGACGUUUGUAAGUUUUAGAAUGUGUAAAAUACUAUCAAAUUAGGCUUUGUCAAUAUGUUAUUUUGUACUGUAUUUCGAAAUCUUUCCAUUUAAGAAAGUGUUUUCCA